UACAGAGGGGGCAAGCGUUGUUCGGAAUUACUGGGCGUAAAGGGCGCGUAGGCGGCCUGUUAAGUCGAACGUGAAAUCCCCGGGCUCAACCCGGGAACUGCGUCCGAUACUGGCAGGCUUGAAUCCGGGAGAGGGAUGCGGAAUUCCAGGUGUAGCGGUGAAAUGCGUAGAUACUGGGAGGAACACCAGUGGCGAAGGCGGCUACCUGGACCGGUUCUGACGCUGAGGCGCGAAAGCGUGGGUAGCAAACAGG
rnacentral:rRNA from 1 species